ensembl:lncRNA
UUUGUGUUGAUUUUUUUCCCCCCUAUACAAAAGAUAAAUAUGCCCAGGAAUUUUUUUUCACUACGGGUUUUCAUCUUCUCGACCUCUUGUAAACUAAGCGGGGUCAAUCACUGGUCAGUUCUUCAGGAAGAGACCUCAAGGGAAUAAAAAACCCACAGUACAUUAGGAAAAGGAAUACUUGUGACUUGUGACUUGGCUUUUUAGUGUGUAACGCUACGCUGUUCGAGCCGACAGCGAAUGCUCAUUGCAGGCAGGGCUGGGAAGGCAAUCACAGCUGCAGAAGGCUCAUUCUGCCUGUGGAUGUGAAGCCGGGGUGAGAUGGCAUCUUCAGGGAGCCAAAUGGAAUUAGGAACCAGAACUGUAUGAGAGUCAAGCAGCCUUCGAGGUCCUGUAAGAAAAUGCCAGCAUUGUGCCUCCCUGUGUAUCUGAAGAUGCCACUGUAACCUAAUUCCAGCAGGACAAUUCCCACCUCCACUCAACACUAAUGCUGGUGGAUCUGUAAAGCAGAUGGAGAGAAAUGCAGCUUCUCUCUUCCAGCACAAAAAAUGGAAAGUACAAGACCUGGAGUGCUUACCCUGCCCCACCAGUCCCACGAGAGCAGAUGUGAACAAGAAGAACCAAAAAUGUACUUCUGAGACCUUGUUUCUGCUCCGAACAUGCCCUGCUGUCUUUCAGCCAUACAUCUGACCUGAGCGUUCGGGGCUUAACACUUUAGGAAACUGGCCAUGCAGGAAAUCCAAGAGCAACGCUGGGUAUUGUUUCUUUUCAACAGCCCCAAUCAUAAAACACUGCAGCUGUGUAGCAGGGAGCUGCUGCAGCCAGAGCAGCAAGUCCUCGGAGGUCAGUCCCUGCUUCUUUUUCCUCAGCAUUACAUAUUCUUUCAGUAAGAGACAAAAGAGAACAGCAGCCAAUGCACAGCACUACAGCUGUUGGUGAAGGAAUACAAAUGAAUCCCCUUCAUUUGAAGUUGUAGGGAGAAAUUAAGAGCAUAUAAACAUUCCAUCUCAACAUUGGUUGAGAUGGAAAAUGAACCAAGUGGUUUCCUUGCACCAUCCAACCCAGCUCAGCACCUCCAGAGAUGCCCCUCGUCCACAGCAAGCAGGGAAGGAGCUCACGUUACUCCAUGAUAAAUGGAAGAAACUCAUGGAAGCCCACAGUGCCAACCACGUGUGCUGAGCAGAGACCCCGUGCUGAGGGCUGAACGCUCUAAAGACAGCUGUUAGCUUACAGACAGCGCUCAGCGGCACGCAGUGAGCUCAGGUCACCAGUCACACCGCUGCCAGGCACAGCUCAGCAGACCUGACAGAAAGCAGAACCCUGCUUAUACCGAGCUCAGGGAGGAGGCUUCUGCUUUUAUGUUUGCUUUUUAGCAAUUGCAGCUACCAAAGUUGUCGCUUUUCAGCGCCUGAAAUGUCUCGAUGAAAACUGUUUACAACACUUAGUGCUUUGUGCUGAGAUCACUCGCUGCAAUGAAAGCCUGCAUUUUAUUGAAAAGAGCAGACACUUUGCAGGCGGUUUUAUUUCACUCCAACACUUGGAGCUCCCUGGCACAAGGUGGGUACAGAUCCUGUCCUGGUAUGCAGAUUGCUGCCGGUAGAGAUGUGGAGGUGUGAAUUAGAAGGCCAAGAAGUGUAUUCAAAAGGUUUAGAAGCCAGCAGCAGGUGGAUCGGAGCGCAUUUCCUCUUGUUCAAUGCAUUUUUGUUCUAACCCUGCUGUGUCUGAGUUUUUCUGUUGUGUUAGCUAUAGUCAGAUUUCCCCACACCUAUUUCAGCAGGAAACACUAUUUCAUCAAAAUAAGCCAAGCUGAUUGUGAUUGAAUUUCCGUGUUUUAAGAGAAGUCUGCUGAUGGAAAGCAUUCUGUAAAAAUCAAAAUAAAUCUGGGAACUUUGAGGCUUGGCUUUUCUGUUAUGAAUAAUUUGGGGGGCGGGGAGCCACACUCCUACUGCAUUUUGAGAGCAAAGCACAGUCACCUGUAAUUUCUGAACACGGAAUGCUCCGAAAUGCUGUGGCAGGGCAUUUUGAUACAGCUCCAUGAUUGCUCCUAAAGGAAAGUGAGACAGAAAAGCACUCCCCGCCUUCAACUAGCAGACCUGUUCCACUUGAUCCGGGCAGCUCUUGGACUCCCUUCAGGAGGUCAGAUGAGAUGAAACCUUCACUCACUAACAAACAUUCUAUACUGCGCCAUGCACUAGGUUUGAGUCUGUGGAUGUGAAGUCAGAGUGAAUUCCAAGUCACCAGGGCUAGCAUACAUCUACGAAGGUAUGAAUGAAGAAAGAAGACAUUUGAUUUGGAUUCCAACAGCAUAACCUCCAGCAAAGGUCAAGCAAAGCAAGCUUUCUACAGCGAAAGUGCGACCAGCUUCUGUGCAUCACCAGGCUUUACUGGACUGACCAAAGCAGCUUCCAGCCCAUCACUCCCUGAAGGACUGCAUUCCCUUCACGGAGAUCUCCCCAGAGCCCUCCCCUGGAUGCUCACCACGAGGACUAUUCAUAUCCACCCUCACUUGAGACAGGACCACACUCCUGUUU